rnacentral:lncRNA from 1 species
CCAUCCUGACAUGCGGAGGCUGCCAGUGCAUUGUAUCUAACCACACUGUGGCAAAUCGAUACAGGUUGCUAAACAGCUUACUAUACCAUACAAAGGCAUAUCCGGCUGUUAUAGAAUCCCCUGCUAUUGAAUAUGAGUAACUAUCCAAUUCCAUAAUAGAAAGAGAUGGGACUAGUUGGUUUUAUUCCUUAACUUAAAUCAAGGAUCUUAGAUCUUGCCGCUGUGAUCUUUUCUCUUGUUUCAGAAGCUGGGAUUGGGCCGGCUUUCCUUUCUUAACCAGGCUCAAGGGAAGUUAGAAGUCAAAGAAGCCUUGGUGCCUAGCGAAAGCGAGUUCUUCUUUCUUUUCUUGCUCGAAGGGUAAGCGGAUCAGAGUCAAUUCGAUCUUUUCGGCACUUUCGAAUGAUUGUGUUUAACACCCUAACGAUUCUGUGAAAGGGGAUUCAUAUUACUGUUGAGCUGACUAAACUCAGUUGUCGGUUAGCGGGUGCAGGUCAAACGAGGAAAGAAAGAAGAGUUCCGGUACAACCAGACGAAAUAUCACUGAUCAUCCAGGCACAGAAACUCAACCAACUGUAGAUGCAAUCUUAAUGCAUUCUGGGAUGAAGGAAUAACCGAUCUUCCCCACCUCGACUCUCACUCAACCGGUGGAACAGCUCCCCGAAACAGCGAGAGAAGCCGGAAAAGCUGAACUCGGGGAGCCCUCAGAACCUCAACCGGUUUCGUCAAAAGACAAAGGAAAAGCACCUAUCCGGGAGGAAGAGGAAGCCGAAGAUACAGAAAGAACCGUCUCCAGCGCACCAAUGGGAAACGGGGCCCCCGAAAGGAUUCUGAUCAUAGUCGUUCAGCGCGUCAAGUUGACACUAUAGCUACAGGCAAGUGUUUAAGGUCGUGAUUUCUCAUUCAAUGGCCUCACAAUUUUAAUUCCCAUGUACAAUACGACAUCGGGGAUUUCACCCGCAGGCUAUACUGUCAAGCAAGGAAGGCGACCUCAAAGACUGGCGGAUUACCCUCGAAACAAAGGAUUUUUAUAUUCCUUCUGCUUUGGACAAGAUAAGUGGACAGAUGAGUUGAAUAAUACAAGGACAGAUAAGCUAGGCGAGGUUCCCCUUUGAUAUCUCCCAACCUAAAGGUUUAUUCAGAGGUGGGUCUUUCAACCGCCUACUCUUUCGAUGAAGGGUGCACUACAAGACCAUCGGUACUAAAAAGAUAAAAUGGGGCUGGGGGAAUUACUUCAAC